rnacentral:rRNA from 1 species
UCAGAACGAACGCUGGCGGCGCGUCUUAAGCAUGCAAGUCGAGCGGUAAGUUGUAGCUUGCUACAACCUAGAGCGGCGGACUGGUGAGUAACGCGUGGGUGACGUACCUUUGUGACGGGGACAGCUCCUAGAAAUAGGAGAUAAUACCGGAUACGCUGCAGCAUGUCAGAGGUGCUGCAGGAAAGGAUCUUUUGAUUCGCACGAAGAGCGGCCCGCGUACUAUUAGCUAGUUGGUGAGGUAACGGCCCACCAAGGCGACGAUAGUUACCCGGCCUAAGAGGGUGAUCGGGCACAUUGGGACUGAGAUACGGCCCAGACUCCUACGGGAGGCAGCAGCUAAGAAUAUUCCGCAAUGGACGAAAGUCUAACGGAGCGACGCCGCGUGGAUGAUGAAAGGCCGGAAGGUUGUAAAAUCCUUUUAUGACUGAGGAAUAAGGUGGAUGAGAGAAACGUCCAUUGGUGACUGUAGGUCAUGAAUAAGCAACGGCUAAUUACGUGCCAGCAGCCGC